GAGGUGGGGGAGGGGCUCAGGCUUCUGUAUCAGCACACAAAGCUGGGAUUUACACACCAGACAGGCGUGUAGGGUAGGAGGAAGGUGGGUUAUGUUGGGGGCGGGGAGGACUCAUGGAAUCAUCUUGAAACUCCACUGUAGCACACAGUCUGCCUCUAUAGAACGAGGUCCUAGCCUAACUGGUCCAGGCCUGGUGAAACUCAUUCAGUUCAUCCCAGCUCUGCUCAUUCAAUCUCAGACCUCAGGCUUGUUAAAUUAGCUGUUAAAUUAUCCCUGUUGAUUUUUAACUCAGUUUAGACCUACUCAGCUCAGGCUGGUCCAGCUCAGGCUAGGCUAAAGUUCAGCUCUAUGCAAGCAGGCUAGCCUUGCUCAGCCUUCCUCAUUUAAGUUCAACUCAGCUAUGCCAGCCCAGCAGCAGGCCAGUUCAACACAUCCAACCAGUCCAGCUCAGCAUAGUUUAGUCCGGCUCAUCUAAAUCCUGAUAAUUUCCAAUUGAUCCCAGCCGAGUUUGGCACAAUUCAGGUAGUCUAUUCUUAGCUCAACCCAGUUUAUCCCAGCUGCACUCAGUUCAGCUCAAUUCAUGGUCUCCCAACCCAGCUCAGCCCAGUUCAUGGUCCGAGUCCAUCUUUUCCCAGCUCAUCCCGAACCAUCUCAACCAGGCCCUACUCAGCCUAACUUAUCUGAGCCUAGUUCAACCUGGCGCAUCCCAUCAGCCAGCCCAGUUGAGUCCAGAUCACCCUACACCAGAUCAUCCAGUACAGCUCAGUCUAGCACAUCUGAGUCCAGCUCAGCCCCGCUCAUUCAAGCUUAGCUCAUCAGCUAGGCCAGCCCAUGCUAGCUCAGCCUCACAUAAUCCAUGUCAGCUAGCCCAGCUCAUCCCAGCCUACCUCAUCCCAGCUCAUCUGAGUACAGCUGAUCCCAGCACAAUCUGGCUCACUUAGCCUAAUUGAUUCUGGUUCUGGCCAGCCAGCUCUACUCACUCUUGCUCAGCUGACCCCAGCUCAGCUCACACAGCUCAGUUCAAUCCAGCUCCGCUCACCACAGCUCAUCCCAGUUUACCCCAGUUCAGCUCAUCUUACCCCAGCUCAACUCAAAACAUCCCGGCUCACCCCAGUUCACCUCAGCUCAGCUCACUCCAGCUCACCCAGCCCAGUUCACCCUAGCUCAGCUCACCCCAGCUCAGCUCAGCUCACCCCAGCUCAGCUCAGCUCACCCCAGCUCAGCUCACCCCAGCUCAGCUCACCCAGCUCACCCCAGCUCAGCUCACCCCAGCUCAGCUCAGCUCACCCCAGCUCAGCUCAGCUCAGCUCAGCUCACCCCAGCUCAGCCCAGCUCACCCCAGCUCAGCCCAGCUCAGCUCACUCCAGCUCAGCUCAGCUCACCCCAGCUCACCCCAGCUCAGCUCAGCUCAGCUCACCCCAGCUCAGCUCAGCUCAGCUCAGCUCAGCUCACCCCAGCUCAGCUCAGCUCACCCCAGCUCAGCUCACCCCAGCUCAGCUCAGCUCACCCCAGCUCAGCUCACCCCAGCUCACCCCAGCUCAGCUCAGCUCACCCCAGCUCAGCUCAGCUCACCCCAGCUCAGCUCACCCCAGCUCAGCCCAGCUCAGCCCAGCUCAGCCCAGCUCACCCCAGCUCAGCCCAGCUCAGCUCACUCCAGCUCAGCUCAGCUCACCCCAGCUCAUCCCAGCUUACCCCAGCUCAGCUCAGCUCACCCCAGCUCAGCCCAGCUCACCCUAGCUCAGCCAAGCUCAGCUCAGCUCACCCCAGCUUAGCUCAGCUCACCCAGCUCAGCUCACCCUAGCUCAGCUCAGUCUAGCUCAGCCCAGCUCAGCUCACCCCAUCUCACCCCAUCUCAGCUACUCCAGAGUAUCUCAUUUCAGAUCAGCUCACCCCAACACAGCGUAGCAUAGCUGAGCUCACCCCAGCUCAUCUCAGCUCAGAACAGUCCAGUGUAGGCAGUAGAGUUUAGCUCUAUUCAACCUAGAUUAAUGAAGUUCAUUCCAGUUUGGCUCAUCUCGGUUAAGCCAGCCUAGUUUAGCUUAGCGGCCCAGCUCAUUCCAGUUCAUUACAGUCUACUUCAUUUUGGCUCAAGCCCAGCUUUGCUUACCUCAGAGUAAUCACCUCAGUUUAGCGCAUUUUAGAAGCACUCAGAGAAGCCCACCCAUCUCAGCUCAGCUGUGCUUUUUAGAGCCUCGCUUACUAGGGCUCUCAACCUUGUUCCCUUAAUUUUGCUCAGCAAGCUUUAUGAGUCUGGCUUUCUCUGUCUGGGUCAUUACUGUGGCUGGAGAGUUAGUCCAGCCGACCUGCUGGCCUCAACUGCAGGUCUCUAUUCUUUCUCAAUUCUGUACAGCUGUGGCCUUCCUUCUGCGUAUCCAUACCCCAGCCCCUGUCCUCUCACACUCACCUCGGAUCUAAGCACUGUCCUUUGAUACCAUUCUUUAACAACCAGGAAGUACAUUUACUGGCAACUUCAAAUUC
rnacentral:lncRNA from 1 species